rnacentral:rRNA from 1 species
UACGAAGGGGGCUAGCGUUGCUCGGAAUGACUGGGCGUAAAGGGCGCGUAGGCGGCUUGUGCAGUCAGGCGUGAAAUUCCCGGGCUCAACCUGGGAGCUGCGCUUGAGACGUGCGAUCUUGAGUGGGGAAGAGGGUCGUGGAAUUCCCAGUGUAGAGGUGAAAUUCGUAGAUAUUGGGAAGAACACCGGUGGCGAAGGCGGCGACCUGGUCCUUGACUGACGCUGAGGCGCGAAAGCAUGGGGAGCAAACAGG